GUUCUAGUGGAGGGUUAUGGAUCAUAAUUCCUUGCUAUUGUAAUGUCUUUAUCAGAUGAACAUGGAAGGCUGUUGUGUUGUCGUAGCGUCCAAACAGCAGGCUCACUUAUAUUGGCCCUGCUAAGGUAUGCUGUAUCUUCUGGACUCCAAGUCACUCAUUAUGAAAUGUGUCAUCAAUCUAAUGAUAGCUUCCCCGAUAAAAAUAAAAGAUAAUAUUUAAACACUAAUAAAAUCCAGGGCAUGGUGAGAAGUAUCUUGAUUAUAGAUACUUUUUCAGUGAAUCUCAGAACUGAGGAAAAGUAUAUUUUAAUUGCAUCCGGGAACAAGUGACUUCCAUGAUCCAGUGCUAUGGGGGAGGCUGAAAAUUAGAGCAUGGGUAGGAUCAUUUUGCAGACCUGCAGUGAUUGGAAGUGGUACAUGGAUAUAGCUCUGAAAACAGGCUUGCAAAGUGAGGCUUUUUUUUCUUCCUAUUUUCUUUUAGUCUUUCAAAAUGCCCUAAGGAAGGAAGGGAGGGAGGGAGGAAGGAGAGAGAGAGAGAGGGAGAGUGCGCGCGCGCACACCAAGUGAGCCAAACUAAGGAAAGCAAUCCUUGCUGGCUGCACUAUAAUUAUAAUAUUUUGUUUCUGAGUGUUUAUUUUUAUGGUUACUUCAUAUUUAGGGCAAGUAGUACUAAGUUUCUCAUUUAACUUGGAGGUUUAAAUUUCAUUAAUAAAUACCUUCAUUUAAUUUUUCAUUCAGUGACUUGAUUUAAACAUGAGGAUAAGGUAAUAAUAGUGCCAGUGGUGCCAAGGAAAAGAUAAUUAGGCCAAUGGCAGCAGCACGACAGCAUCUAGAGAACUCUGAUUAAUGACAGGCAGCCUCUUGGUCAGGCUGUACUGCAGUUGUCCAAGCCGCUGAAGCAUAGGAGGGCAGGAAUCCCAAAUCAGGUGUUCCAAUGUGCUGUCUAGAGCUGCCCCCAGUGUCCAGUUCUUGUGCCACUUGGAGUUUCUUACUAUGCUCUUUCUGUUUAAUGGGUGGCUCCCUAAGGCUGUUUCUGGAACCAGCAAGUGGCCUGCGUCCUUCAAUGUGUAUGGAGCCUGAGUCUUUAGUGAGAGUCCUGUGCUCUGUCAGAGGAGGAGCGGGAAGCAUCACCGAGCCAGCGAGAGGAUGUGGAGGAGCCCUGCUGUGUGCUUUGUGGUGCUUGACAGCAGGUGGCUUGCCCAAGCUCUCAGGGAACCGCAAGCAGGGCACGCUGGGAGCUCUCAAGACAUCAGCGCAUUCAGUGCCUCGUCAUUGAUUCACCCAGUUGGUCACUGGCUUAACACACGUUCACUGAGUCCCUCAAGACCUCAGCAGUCUUCUAGGCUGUGAGAAGAGAGUGGUGGCUGUUGGAAGCCAAGUUCACCUCAGAGAAGCCAUACUCUGAGUUGUCAGCAAGCAGAAUUUUAUUCCUGAGGGCUGACUGCUCAUCAGGACAUGUUUGGAGGGAUUGUGAACAACAAUCACACAUAGCAGCUCAUGGACUGAGGGCUUAUGACAGGCCAUAGAAUACAAGUAUUUUGGAUGCAUUUUAGGAUUUAAUUCUCAAUGCCAUGCUUUGAGUAAAUGCUGUUAUUUUCUCCAAUGUAGAAAUGAGGAAAGAGAGGCUGGUGGGCUAAAUCAUUUACCCAAAGGCACAUGGUAAGUAGAUGGGCUGGAGCACCAUGUGCUUAUUAGCUCGGGCAGCCCAUCGGUUGUCACUGCAGAGCUCCUGCGUAACCACUGUGCUGUGUAAUCUUGGAUUUCAGUGUGGUGGAGGCUGAGACUCAGAGAAAGGGAGCGACUUGCAUAGGAUCACUUGGUAGUGGUGCCAGAUGGAGGGUUUCAUUGCAGUCUGACUCUUGCUCUCCCGAUGCCAUACUGCUCCACUGAGAUCUCACGUUCCCUGCCUUUGAGCAGCCUCCUCCGAUUCCCAUGUCAGACCGUGCUGGAAGUGAGCAGCUUUGCAGAGGAGAGCCAAGUGUUACAUAAUAGGAUCAUCUUCCACGUCUUUCCAUGACCACUAGUUUUUAACCAUUAAGUAGUUGGGAGAUCAUCAAAUUCAAGUGCUUUUUGAAAAUAAUCACCAAGCUUAAACUCCUGGAGGAAGCUAUCACCCAUUUUGUCCUAAUCCUAGAUUUUAGCAAAUGACUUUGAAUUUUUAGACUUCCAGAUUCAGAAACAAGGCGGAUUUUCCUGUUAGAACAUUCUUGAGCACAGACCUCUUUGUAGCUGUCUCUGGAGAAUACAGGAUUUUACACGGCUUACAGAAAUAUUGUGGUGGUGAAAAUAUGCAUAAAAAAGCGAGUGAUUUUACUUUUGAAAUACUGCCAAAGUGAAAUCUCUCAUGGAUAGGCAGAUGACAGUUUAGUACUUACAGGUCUUUAGAUUCUGAGAACUGUCAGAAGUGAAUUUAAGUGCUGGUGACUAGGCUGCCAAAAAAACACAUGUAACUCUAUUCUUAUCAUCACCUCCCAUCUUUAGACAUUAAAAUUUCCUUGUGUGUAAAACAUAAUGACAAAUGAAAGAAAGGCUGCCAGUUCAGAACCUAUUUCUUUUUGUGCUGUUGGACUGUGCAGAGGAAAAACCCUUAAAUUUGAACUCCAUGUGGAUGCCCCAUUUAAUAAAACGUUGCAGAGCCUGCGUGCGAACAGGCCAGACCUGUGUCAGGCACCUCUUUCCUGUGCACAUUCCCCACGCAGGCUCCAGCCCAAGUGUUUUUGCCCACGCUGGGAGAGGCAACGGAUUUUGUAGUCAGAGGCUGCCCCAAAAUAGAAACAGAUGCUAAAUGCAAACACUGGUGGAAAGCAUACCUCACUGUACCAUGGCACAGCCCUCCAUCUGCCUUCCAGCACGAGUUGUGGAGUCAGCCUCUUUGGGGAUAUCUUCUUCCUUUUUCAGGAGACUCUGUGUGGAGGAGGAGGAUGUUUUAGCACGAGUGCUGCUAAUAAUGAUUGUAUAAACACUAGCUGCUAGCCAGCUUUCUGUUUAUUCUGUGCAAGGCAGUAUGCUAAGCACUCACACACCGAUCAUCUCAUUAAUUUCUUACAACAGCCCUAUGCACUAGCCACUCUUCUCCCCUUUUUACCAAUUAAAAGGUUUAAGCCCACAGAGGCUAAGUCGAGUUCCUAGAUGCAGCAAGUGGCAGGUCUAGACUUUGACCCCAGCUCUGUUUUAAUCCCAGGGACCACCCUUUCUGUUAGUUCUCAUCUUCAAUCAGACAUUUCCCUUUGGAGGUUUCUCUAUGGGUUAUUCUGCUGGCUGACAGGUUACCUCAGAAUCUGAUGGGCUUAAGACAAUUUAAAACAAUAAAAAUUUAUUUAUUUUCUCUCUAUCUCUCUGAUUCCUUCUCUCCUUUCAUUGUUCUAUCCCUUCUUCCUACCUCUUUCUCUUACAACAUGUUUACAUCAGGAUUCAGAUGAGGUCCAUGCAUUUUAAUCUGUAAGAUUUUUAUUUUUUUCCCUUAAAAAAUUUUCAAAUGCUACAUAUUUAAGGGACCAGGAUGUCCCCUAGAGAUUUCUGUGGUUUCUGCUUGGAUGAUUUCAUUCUGUAGUGUCAUUUAACAUAUCCCUUUGUUUCUUGUGAAAAAGUAGCUAACUCUGGAGACUCAGCUACUUCCUGUUGAAUUUUUUGGCAGGAGUACUUCAUAAGCUGUGGUCUGGCCGCCUAUCGAGAGGAUGCCAUGCCUUGUUGCCAGAGCCAGUUUCCCUAAGGUUCAGCAUUUCUUGACCUGCUCACCCCUCUGACCCCUCUCUCGAUUUGCACACUCCCUCUUUCAUUCAUUUGUCCUAUUAUUCCAUGCUCGCUCUUCUGGGUGGCCAGUCCAGGAAGCCUCCAUCUGCUUCUCCACACUGCUCCCCAGAGUUAGUGGUGGUGGUGGUCGGCCAGUGUGUCUCACGUUGAAUUAUUUUGGGCAUUACUGGAAAGUUCCAAAGCAAAGCUGCGGUAAGUCCCAACCAAACUGAGUUGUGAAGGAUAUUUGUGUUUGAACAGUGAUUCUGGAAGGCAGCCAGACUGCAUACUGCCUGGUGGAUAGAGGCGUCCAUGAGCAGGAAGAGCUAAGACCUUUUCUAAUCCUCCCAACCAGUGAUUGGGAUUUUCUUUCUGCAGCAGAUUCACAAACAGCAGAAUGCUGUUUGCAGUGCUUUUGCACAUUUUCAUCCUAGUUGCAGCUGCCAGAUUACUGAGAAGAGCACAGUUUGAACAAGACCCAGAACAGUUCAAGACCUCUUAGAACAAUGUGCUCCUUAAAUAUUUUUUUCUUUAGAAAAUGGCUAAUAGUUUGGAAUCUACAGAUCCCCAACAAAAUGGACACUGCAUUCUAAAUCUGGAAUUUUAAAACUUGGUGAUGACACAUAACACAGGGCAUUCAUAACUUGGACUCUACUUGUUCUUCUGCUCUUAGAAUCUUGAUUGAGGCUUUUGAUUCAUCCUGGAAAUUAAUUUAAAUUGCCAAGAACUUCAUAUUAAAAUAUGAAUAAUAAUGCAAUUCCAAAGGUUUCUAGAACUUGAUUUUUGAUCAUGGAUUUCCAUUUCUUUGCUUAAUGUUCUGCCCACAGAAUUUUUCAAAGGAAUUUGGAUUUGUUUCACUUAGAAGAUAAUUUUAAAAGUGGUGUUUUUUUUUAAAUGGUUAGAAUAGCUAUUUUCUGUCCUUUCUUCUCAGGCAUUUGAAGGGAAAAAAUUUUUAACAAAGUUAUGUAUUUUCAUUUUCUACUAAAUUACUUUCAGAGCUUGAAUCUACUAUUCCCAGAUAUAAUAUUUUUGGAUUCAUAUUACACACUUUGCUGUCUCAGAUCAUUCUUAUGGAAGUGGGUGGGCUAAAAGUUAUAAAUAAAUUCCAAAUUUUGAGGGAUAAAUUACCCUGAAGACCAAUGUGUAAAUUACAGAGUAAUCUUUCUUUUUCUCCCCAGCUCAGUUUUAAGAAUAAUGUUUUAGCCAGCUUAUCUGCAUUUCUCUUUGCUUAACUUGAGAAAGCCAUUUUCGUUUUGCCUAACAGAAGGAUCAUGUUGCUUUGUUUUUCUACACAGUAUGAAAACUAAAAGAAAAGAAAAAAAGAUUUUAACUGUAAAAAAUAUUCUAAAUCUAGGUCUUCAUUAGGAUUUUUUUAGGAAAUUAUUAAGAUGACUAAGUUGAUUUUUCACCCAUCCAACACAUUUUCCACACUAAAACAUUGAAAAACCAUAUUGUGAAUCAUUUAGUAUAGAACCCAGAAACAUCAGGGAAGAAUGCUGCCCUCAUAAGUUCAUGUUUUGCUUCCCAAAACAUAACUCAUUAGAUGCCAAAUCUUAUGUCAUUUUCAAAAAGCAUGUUUCUGAAAUAGAUUAUAUACUUACUUAAAAAAUACCUGGAAACAAUAAAAUGUCGUGCAGGGUUUGGUUGGUAAACAUUUCCUUAAAGGACCAGAGAGUGAAUAUUUCAGACUUUUCAGGCCAUAAGGUCUCUGUUCCAGCUAACUGUUCGACUCCGCUGCUGCAUCACGGGACUGGCCACAGGCUCUGCGUGCAGGGAGAUUGGUGGCUGUGUUCCAGGAUGUGGAGGCCAGCUGAGUUUUGGCUCAAAGUUUAGCUUUGCUGCUUACUAGCUGUGUGGCCUUGGGCAAGCUUCUUAGUAUCUCUGGGUCCCACUUUCCCAAUCUGUAAAGUGGAUUGUCACCUCUGAUUUGCAGAUUGCUUGAAUAGGUGAAAUGCAUGGAAUGACAAGGCACAUCUCUGUGUAUCUUGCCUUUGACUUCUUAACAUGCAUCUGUUUGUUACCUUGAUCCUAAAGUGAUCAGAGGGGUUUUUAAGAGUACAUAAAAUAUGGGAAGAUAGACAUAAGAAAACUUCAGGGAAAGGAAUAAGUGCACAGUGGUAAUACAGGAUCUUAGAGGAGGUAUGUAUUUCCUAAGGCCUUUCGUGGUUAGUAAAAACUGGGUAUAAGAAUGCACUUUGAGAUUCCUGGCAAACAAAAGAAGAGGGGAAAUGGACUUCAUGUGGUCCACAGCUGUAAGCCCCAUGAGAAAUGAGCACAACUGGUUAUCACCACAGUGGUGCUCCAAUGAGGUCACAGAAUACUUAAUGCUUUACGGCGUAUUCUGCCCCCACUGCCUUCUUCCUCCACUGUUUUUUUUUUUUUUUUAAAGAUUUAUUUAUUUAUUUGAAAGCCAGAGUUAAACAGAGAGAAGGAGAGGCAGAGAGGUCUUCAGUUCCACUGCUUCACUCCCCAAAUGACCACAAUGGCCAGAGCUGAGCUGAUCUGAAGCCAGGAGCCAGGAGUGUCUUUCCGGUCUUCCACAUGAAUGCAGGGGUUCAAGCUCUUGGGCCGUCUUCAGCUGCUUUCCCAGGCCAUAGCAGAAAGUGGAGCAGUUAGGACCUGAAAUGGCGCCCAUUUGGGAUGCUGGCACUGCAAGCAGCGGCUUUACACAUUAUGCCACAGCUCCGGCCCCAUCCCCCUCCACUCUUUGUUCUCAUUCUUCCCCUUCAUGUAACUCCAUGGACCUGAGGGAUGCUUCACAGUUCUCCUUCAGAGUAAGUACCCCAGAUUCUGCUUCCUCUCUCAUUGCUGUGUCCGUUUCCCUGAGCAUCAGGCGUCUUUGUUGGAUCAGAGUCGCCUCUAGAGCAACCUGCUUUCGAUAAGUGGGGAGAGUGUACAUACUGCAAGUACUACGUAUGCCUGUGUGUAAUGGAAUAGACAGAUACUACAGGCUUUCUCCUCUACUGUAAAACAAGUAUUUUCAUUUCACUUCAUCACGUAUUCAACCUAGUGCUAGGAACUGGCUCAGCAUUGGAAUGAAAUCAUUGCCAUCUGCUGCUUCUGUGCCUCAUCUCUUUCUUUCAGUAGUCAUGCUGCUUAGGAAUGUUUGGAUAGCUUCAUAUUUUGAAAAGCAUAACCUUUGGUGGAAAAGAGUAAUUAAUAAAUUAAUUAAAGGUCACCUGGCAGUGAAAUUGGUUAGGGAAAUUUCAUGGCACCCUUUUGCCAUCAUUAGUGUAAAGGAAUAUGUUUGCAUCAACAUGUUUGUGAAAUAAAAUUUUUAAUUUCCCAACAGAAUUCUAGGUUCAGCCAUCACUUGAGUUUCAUGAAAUCGAAGUGAUGUAUGUUAAUUAAAGACACAAAAAAAUUUUCCAGCAAGAGCCAAAACCAGGCUUUGGAAGUAGAUUUUUUUUUUUUUUCUGUGAUUGCCUUUUUCCACUCCUCUUCAUCCCACCAGUCAUAUAAAAAAAAAUGUUAGGCUUUUACCUCUAGCAAAUGUUAAUUUUGUGCUGGUGUUACAAACAUUGAUCAGUUAAAGCACUGGACUGGACAUGGGUCAGCAAAGUUUUUCUGUGAAGAAUUAGACCAUAAAUAUCUUUGGUUUUUAUGAGCCAGAUGGUCUCUCUGGCAACUACUCAACCAUUGUUGAGUGUACUGUUGAGUAUUGAGUUAAGAUCUUAGAAGACGGGUGUGGUUGUGUUCAAAUAAAACUUUAUUUACAAAUACAAAAAGAGUGUGGGAUUUGGGAUCUGGCUGGGCAGCUGUGUGGUUUACUACCAUCUGAGCUGUAGUCCACAGGGCCUUGAAAUAUAACUCAUUGUAAUAGCAUCCUACCGCAUCAUGAGAAACACAUACUGUUUUUCAAGGAAAAUGGACUGUUAGGUCUAGUCAAUAUUUUAUAUUACAUAUAGGUGUAUGUAUAUUUACAUAGAACAAUUAUGUAUAUAUGCAUAUAUAAAACUGAGUUCAUGGUUACUUUGAAAUUUCUGCGGAAGUAUACUGGAAUACUUAAUAGCUAUAGAAGAGACAGAAGUCUGAGUAGUAGAAUAGUUUGCUGUGCUAAGUUUUAGAAAUAACACCACAUAGGAAAGCAGGACAACUAAGACAACUAAAUGCUGCUUAAUGUAUGAACACACUGAGUUGUAUCUGGAGCUGGAAACCAUAAUAAUUGCUGAUAUUGUCUACUUAUUAUAUGUCAUGCAUAGAUAAACACUCACGUACCAUUCCAUUUAAACCUUACAAGGACUCAGAGGUGAGGACAAAAAUGGUAGAAGAAGGUCAAUAUAUUAUGUUUCAGCAUCAUACCAUGAUGAGCUACAUUUUACAGAUCAAUAAAUGGACACUUAUUAAAAAUAUUAAGGACCUUGAUGAAGGUCAUACUAGUUAGUAUGUUCUGCUGGAAGGUGGCCCAAAAUCUGCUCUGUCUCUGAACUUAGCUUAGAGAGUAUUUGGGAGAAUUGGAAAGAUCUGUCUCAUUUGGGAAAUGUAUCAUGUAGAACACAUUGCCUCUGAAGGAUAUUUGUCCCAUUAAUAGGAUGGAUGACAACCACUGCCUACUGGGACAAUUAUUAAGGUCACUUCAAGGUUGGAGGAGAUGCUUCUUGCAGCCAAUUUUCUAUCACCAACUGGAAAUUGUUUUGCUGAAAUAUGUGUAAAGGAGGUUAAACAAACCCAAUAGACGAUAGGCUCAUCCCUUCAAUUAAGGUACUCUGACUGUUUUCUACCGAAUAUCUAGAAGGUGUCUCUCCACAGAGUCUAUUUAAGAGGAAAUGACUGCUAUUUACUCUCAUUUGUAGUUGUCUUUAUACAUUUCUUCCAAAUGUCAGUAUUCAUUUCCCCCUUAGUUCCUACUUGUCUUUAAAAUGAUACUUAUCAGGUAGACACAAGAAGACCAAAAGGUCAUUUUGCUUUUUAUACCUAUGAACUGCCAAAGCAAUUGCUCUCAAAUGCAAACCCACUCCUGACACUGUUCUGAUUGGCAAUGUUCUGCCUGAGCUGCAGUAGCUACAUUUAUUAGUGUGGCCUACUUGGGCCUGUGAAGUCUGGUUUCCUCCCCUGUGUCUUCUGGCUGUGUCCUCCCAACUUUGCUCCUAUGGAGGUACUUACAGGUUCUAAACCCUGCCUCUGGACCUUUGCUGUUACCCUCCUACCUGUCCAUCACCUGUUCAGUGAAUGUCUUUGUGUCACAUCCUCUAUAGAACACCCUUCAUUCCUCCUCCUUACCUGGGCACCAGAAUUGAGAGGUGAGUCUCUUCUUGGAGCGUGAUGCCAGCACCCAAUCUGGCACGGAUGGGGGAACCACGUUGAGUUUUUGUUGUUAUUGUUGUACUGUGCCCUAAAAGAGCAGAAACCUUUCCUAUUCUUGACUUAGCUCUGAAUGUGUCUUCUACAUUUACAUAGGAUGGUGACCUUGGAAAAAUGCUUCACUCUUUCUAUUCCUUGGUUUCUUCAUCAGUAAAAAUGGGAGAUGGGGGUAACACCACUCUGUGAUUGUUGAGAGGAUUAAAUAACACUAUUCUUAUAAAAUACAUUAUCUGAUGCCUAAUGAGCACUUAAUACAUCUUAGCUUGUGUUAUUGUCAUCAUCAUAAUCCCUUGCAGAUUUUACAUUUGCUUUUUUUUUUUUUUUGACAGGCAGAGUGGACAGUGAGAGAGAGAGACAGAGAGAAAGGUCUUCUUUUUCCAUUGGUUCACCCUCCAGUGGCCACUGCAGCUGGCAUGUCGCGGCUGGCGCACUGCGUUGAUCCGAAGCCAGGAGCCAGGUGAUUCUCCUGGUCUCCCAAGUGGGUGCAGGGCCCAAGGACCUGGGCCAUCCUCCCCUGCACUCCCGGGCCAUAGCAGAGAGCUGGACAGGAAGAGGAGCGACCGGGACAGAAUCUGGUGCCCCGACCGGGACUAGAACCCGGUGUGCCGGCGCUGCAGGCAGAGGAUUAGUCUGUUGAGCUGCGGCGCUGGCCUACAUUUGCUAUCUUAUAGUGAGUUCAAGGAAGGGGAAGGGUGCAUGGACAGUUGGGUAGUUGGAUAGAAGGAGGGAAAGAAGCAAUGAGGGAAGGAAAAAAUGGAACCAUGGACUUAGAUUUGCUGAACUGCACUUUUAAGUUGCCAAUUCUCAGCCUUUUACAGUUCUUGAAUUGAUCCUUCAUUGGGUGACAUAGAGGUUAUAUGUUCAAAGAUCUGAGGAAACAUAGUUUAAAAUAAUCACUGAUACAGUAGUUACUAUCCACCAAUAACUUGAAGGUUCUCUUCUAGGAAUUUAAAACAUUUUCUAUUAAUAGUGUAGACAGAGACCAUGUGACCAAACCAGGCUGGCCAGGGAUGACUCCUCUGAGCCCGGUAUACCAAAUCUGUUCUUUGGCCCACACUGAGACCACCCACACAGCCUUCCAUGCAGCAGAUCCGUGGUGUUAGGGUUAACAUUUAGUUAAUCUCAGAAAACUCUUGGUUCAUUUAAGACUUGGAAAGAGCAUUUCAGUUCUGUGGUUUAGAAUUAUAUUUCCCAACUUGGGCCAUGAAUUGAACUUGGCUUUUCUCCUUGUAUCAUCCAAACCACCCCCAUUGUAACGUUGGGAUUCUACAUUGACAUAAUUGACAUGUUGAGAAGUUGUGCUUAAACCACACUGAAAUCACAUUUUAAUAACAUGGGACCAUCUUUUUUCUCAGUAAAUUGUUGAAACGCUAAUUCUUGUCAGGCUAAAAACUUGAAUAUACAUGUGAAAUAAAUCAGUGGCACUCCAUAGUGCAGCCUCCUGAAAACCCCCAAGGAAAAUUAUAUUUUUAGUUAAACUGCUUGUCACUGCACCGUUUUCAAUAUUGUAAGUGUUUUCUUCUCUUGUUGAAAGGAUCUGUUUGGUACCUUGUCAUUCAAAAAUAUAUAAAUGGAUCAUCCCAGUUAAUGGGAAAAUUAUUCCAUUGCCUUGUAAGAUUAUUCUGCUGUUAAAAUUGACUCACUGAAUCACAAUUUAAAAUAUACUUGAGCAUUUAGGCUGUUGUGGUACAGCAGGUUGAGCAGCCACUGUGAUGCCAGCAUUGCGUAUCAGAGUGCCAGGUUGAGUCACAGCUGCUCUGCUUCCAGUCCAUCUUUCUCUAAUGCACCUGGGAAGGAAGCAGAUGAUGGCCCAAAUGUUUGGUCCCCUUCCACCCACGUGGGAGACCCAGAUGGAAUUCCUGGUUUCCGACUUUAACCUGGUCCUGACCUUACUGUUGCGGCCAUUUGGGGAUUGCACCAAUGGAUAAAAGAUCUCUCUAGCUCUGUCUCUCCCACUUUCGCUGAUGCUCUGCCUUUAAGAUAAAUGAUUGAAUGAAUAAAUAAAUAAUUUGAAAAGAUGUUUGAAUUGACAUGAUAAAAUAAUUUAUAGCAGGAACAGAAAGAGUGGAGAGAUCUCUGUCUCAGAAGUGCAAGUAACGGUUAAGUUGCUGAAUGAUAAAGCUUUGGCAGAUGCAUCUUAAUGGAAUGUCUUUAGCCCAAAAGGACACCAGUGCCUCAUUUUUGCCAUAUCAUAAACUUCCAUGAGAUCAUCAUGGUGGUUCCUCAACCUGGCUGUACAUGGAGUCAGAUGGGAGUCAUAAAAAACACCAAUGCCUGGCUGCUACCCUCAAAUUCUGAUUUAAUUGUCCAGGCAGAAGGAUGGAUAGAGUGAUGGAUGGAUGCACUGGAUGGCUAGGUAAAUGAAAGGAAGAAAUGAAGGAAGGAGAAGGUUGGUCAGGUAUGUGCACUGGGCACUUGGGCUGUUAACAUCUUCCUGUGCGCUGCCCUGCUCGUGUGCAGCGGAGUUGGCAGAACUGAGGGCAGAUCAGCAGCCAGCUAACAGCUAUGCCCUGGUUGGUCUACGCCCACUUCAGCAGAGCUCCGUGCAUAGACAAAGUUCCCUAAAAGCCCAUCAUGUUUAUGGUGAGCUGGGAGAACCAUUAGCUAUGGCCUCAAAUCCUGCUGGUCCACCAACCCACUGGGCCAAUUUCUCCACUUCUCUGAGCCUGUUUACUUGUCUGUGCAAGGCUGGGUAAUGGUGAACAGAAUUGCAUUUUAAGGAUUAAGAGACAGCAUUUAUCUUGCAAGGGUGUAACAGUGCAUACAGGAGUCCGGGGUACUGGCAGCUGUCUCUGCACUCAAACUUUGCUUACAGUAAAUGAAUUAAAUUCAGAUGGAGGUGGGCAGCUGCCCACUCUAAAGCCCCUGACACCUGCAGAGAGAGGCCAUGGGAGCUCGCGGAAGAAAGGGCAGAGUCAAGGCCUGCCAAGAGUGGCCAUUGCAUGAUAUAGCUGUAUUACCAAUUUGCAGUUACAAAUUGGUGAACACAUUUGGUCCUGUGAGAUCCUGCAUUAUGCUCCCAUGUCUUGUGUAACUGCUUAGAAAAUGUGGUCCUGAGACCAGACCCCUGGAUGACCAACUUUGGAUUUCCUGACUAAAGCCACAUAGCCUUCCCUGGGAGAACUGUUCAACACAGAGUGUAUGGUAGUAAGUUUUUAAAUUUUUUAAAAUUUAUUUCAAAGGGAAACAAGGAGAGACAGAGAGGGAGAUCUUCGAUUCAUUGGUUACUCCCACAAAUCCCUCCACCAGCCUGGGCUGCAGGCUGUGAGCUCAGUCUGAGUCUCCCACAUGGGUGGCACAGACACAAGUACUUGAACUGUCAUCUGCUGCCUCCCAGAGUGUGCAUUAGCAGGAAAAUGGAUCAGAAGCAGAGGAGCUGAGACUUCAAUCAUGCACUCUAAUAUGGGGCAUCCCAAGCUGUGUCUUAAACAUGGUGCCAAAUGUUUGCCCUUGGUAAGAACUUUUAUUUUAAACUGAUAACUGUUUUUUUUCUUCAUAUAAUAAAACCUGUAUAUAACUCAAGGGAAAAAUGUGAGAUUGUGGACAAGCAUGUAGAUUCAAGCACAGAUUAAAGCUCAUUCUACCAUCCUAGACAAUCCACAUUUACACUUUGCUGGCUGUAUUUUCUGUGUGCCCCCCGAAAAAGUGGGGGGACAUGUUGUCUGUAUUCCAUUGACAUGCCAUGAAAUAUUCACCAUUUCAAAAUGUGCAGUUCAGUGGUAUUUGGUACACUCGCAAGGUUGCACAGUCAUUCCCACUGUCAAAUUCCAUUACUUUACUCUGUGCAUUUGUAUCCUAUUUUGUCUACCUUCUUUGACUUAGCAGAAUGUUUUCCAGAUUCAUCCGUGUUUGACAUGUAUCAGCAUUUCAGUCCACACUUUGGAUAUGUGCAGUUUCCACAAUAUGUCUUUUAUGAAUAAUGUGGCCGUGGACAUUCAUGUCCACGCUUAUGUGAGGAUGUGUUUUGUUUCUCUUGGGUAUAUACCAAAGAGUGGAAUUGCUGGAUCAUAGGGCAACUUGAUAUUAACUUUGAACUUGCAUGGCAGCUGCACCACUUAAUAGUCUUGCCAUCAGUGUUUGAUGGUUCCGGUUUCUCCAUAUCCAUACCCUCACCUCAUCAGUGUUUGUUGUUUUUUGUUUGUUUUUGCAAUUAUAAGCCUUGCUUUUUUGUUAACAGUUGUCCUAGUGAGUAUGAAAUGGUUAUGUGACAGAUGUUCUUUUGCAAUCUUUUCUCCAUACUUAAUAUGUCAUGGACAAUUUUCCAUGCUAUUAAAUGUUUCUUAAAUUGGAAUUUUAAGAACUUUACAGCUAUCUAUGCCACGUAGAUAGUUGUUUAACCUAUCUUGAAUUGUUAGAUGCUACGUUGCUUUUUUGCUUUGUGUGUGUGUGUGUGUGCGUGCGUGCACGUACACUGUGAUGAUGUCCUCCAUAUAUAUCUUCUUGGAUCUCUUGUUGUCUUGGUAUAGAGUUUGUGUUAAAACAUAUGAAUAUCUUCUAAUACUGAUGCCCUAUGAUGUAAGUACUUGUCAUUUCUUCAUCAGACACUAGGAAAUGCUAUUAUGUAUUUAUGUCUUUGCUACCGAGAUCUGAAAUAUAAUUUUUAAAUUCUAAUUUAUUUCAUUAUAGUCUAGUGGUUGUUAGAAAAUGCAGGGCUUUUGGUCACGAGUCACUGAAUGUUGGUCUUCCACUAUUUGUAAAUGCCAUCGGAGCCCAUCGGAGCCACAGGGAGGAGAAAUGACAGGCUGAUGGGGCAGGAAAAGAGCAGAGACAGAAAACAGAGUGGAAUUUAGGACUUUUCCUUUUUUUUUUUUUUUUUUUUGACAGGCAGAGUGGACAGUGAGAGAGACAGAGAGAAAGGUCUUCCUUUACUGUUGGUUCACCCCCCAAUGGCCGCUGCAGCCGGCACACCACGCUGGUCCGAAGCCAGGAGCCAGGUGAUUCUCCUGGUCUCCCAUGUGGGUGCAGGGCCCAAGCACUUGGGCCAUCCUCCACUGCCUUCCCUGGCCACAGCAGGGAGCUGGCCUGGAAGAGGGGCAACCAGGACAGAAUCCGGCGCCCCGACUGGGACUAGAACCCGGGGUGCCAGCGCCGCAGGUGGAGGAUUAGCCUAUUGAGCCGUGGCACCAGCCUGACUUAGUCCUUAAAUAAAGAUCUGAGGAGAUGAAGUGGGCAGAGUGGGGCGUGAGUGGAGAGAGCCCUGGAAUGAGAGUCUGGCUUCAUUGGCGUUGCCCCCAGGUUGUUCUUUACCCGAGAUAGUGGUGCUCUAGUCUCCUUUGGUCUUCGCAGUAGUGGAAGCACAGCUCCCACGUGUGACUCUGCUAAUUUUUCAUGACCUUCCCUUUGACUCAGCUCUGCUCUGCCACAUGACACAGGAUGCCCCUUCAUGUCUGGCCCAGCCUUAAUAGAUCGCCACAUGAUUAGAGGGAAAGCUUCCAAUUGAUCUUGCUACUAGAUAGGGCCUUGGAGAACCCUGAUUCUAAAAUAGACUUCAGUCCCAGGCUGUGAAGCCCCAUUUGACUCAGAUGUGCCCUGGAUCAAACAAAUAUUUCUUUUUUCUUUGCCAUAUUAUAGGCAGGUUUUCUGAGCUCAGCAGAGCUUUUGAUCACAUUUGUUUCUGUUUUAUUUGCUGCUUUUCCUCAGCCGCACCACUGGAAGGUAGAUAAGCUGCCCAGUGCCUGCAGAGGCAGGAGUCAUGUUCCUCAGCGCACCACUGGAAGGUAGAUAAGCUGCCCAGUGCCUGCAGAGGCAGGAGUCAUGUUCCUCAGCACACCACUGGAAGGUAGAUAAGCUGCCCAGUGCCUGCAGAGGCAGGAGUCAGCGUAGCACCCGUCCUGCCUUCCGCGUCGUGUGUGCUAUAUUGUGGUGUUGGCUACAGUUAUAUUGACCUGAUUUCACUUGGUUCUAAAAGGCUGAUCUGUCUUUGUAAUGUUUCAGGCAAACUUCAAGUAAGUUUAUUUUGGUAUUAUGUAUAAAUGAUUCUAUUUUACAUUAGGUUUAGGAUAACAAAAAUAAUAGAUGAUCAUAGAACACUGAAAAAUCAUGGAAAUGCAUAAAUACAAAAAUAAAAAAUGCCCAUUUUUUUGCCUUUCUAUUUGUUUUUAUUUUUUGAAAGUUUUUUUCUACAGAGAAUUUAAAACACAUAUAACAGAGAAAAAAAUAUAUACUGUAACUUCCCAUAGCUGUUACUCAGCUUUUAUAGUUUUCAACAUAUUGUCAAUUUUCUUGAAUCUGUAGUCCCUCUCUUGGUAUAUUAUUUUAAAGUAAAAACAAGGCAUCAUAUAUUUUUCACUCAUGAAGACAUUAAUACUGCUCAAUUAAUACCACAGUUCCUAUUCAGAGUAUUAUCCUGUUUUUUCCCUUCAAUAAAAUGACAGGCAUUCUAUAGGAAGACAUUAAAUAUUUAUGUGUAUAAAUAUAUAUUUCAACUAUUUUAAAAAUGUAUUCUUUUAUAAUAGCACUAUUUUCCCAAGUUUUCUGGAAUCGUUUAGUCAAGAUAAUAAACUGGCAAAAUAAUACUAUAAAGGUAUGGAAAAUACUGUGAAUAAUAUGUUACAGAAAAAAGUUUUUAUAUUUUUAACCUAGUAUUUUUAAAAAUGAUUCCAUUUCAGAUGUUGAGAAAUAAAUUUAACUUGACAUUGUAAAAUUCUAAUAAUAGACUGAAGUAAUGUCAUAAACUAAAACCAUGUAGCUUAGUGUGGCCCAUCAGUUGUCCCAAAAAAAAUGCAACCUUGUUUUCGUUGAACUCAGUGUGUCUUGCUUGAGUCUUUGUAUAAGGAUUGGACCUAGAGAACUGAGCAUUCAGCCCAGGCUGCCCCCGUGAAAGGGGAGCCAGCUUAGCAAGAUGUCUCGGAGCCCAGUUUUUUUUUUUUUUUUUUUUUUUUUUUUAACAAAAUUGAGAUAUAGUGUAAAAGUCACCAUUUUAAAGUACUAUUCAGUGAUUUUUUUUUACUACGUUCACACAUGUGUAACAACCAUCACCACACUUGAAUUCCAGAACAUUUUCAUCACCCCAAAAAGAAAUCCCGUAGAGACUGGCAGUCAUUACCUAUCUCCUCUUUCUCCAGCCCUAGGCACCACUCACCUACUUCCUGUCUCUCCCUAUUUGCUUAUUCUAGACAUUUCAUAUGAGUAGAAUUCUAUAAUAUGUGGUCUUUUUAUCUAGCUUUUUUCAGUUUGCAUAAUAUUUUCCAGGUCCAUCGUGUUCUAGCAAGCAUUAUUACUUCAUUCUUUUUCUUAUAGCUGAAACAUACUAUAUGGAUAGACUACCUUUUGUUUAUCCAUUUGUUCACUGAUAGACAUUUGUGUUCUUUGCACUUCUUAGCUACUGUAAAGAGUGUUGCUAUGAACAUCAUUCUCACUGUUCUGGUUUGUGGGAAGACAUCAUCAUACAUGGAGGCUAAAGGUGUUGGAAGGUAGGGUACUAGGUACAUUGAAACAAGUUCAACACCAAAACCCUUUGAUCCCCUCUUGAAGGAUCAUCCAUUCAACGAUGGAGCACAUCUCAUAUGAAAAACUUAAACUUAACUCAUCCUUUUUUGGUUUAAGAAGUUGCUGAAUGCAACUUGAGCUCAAUUACUUUGUAAAGCAUUUUGUUUAUUUGACCUUUUGUGUCCCAAGAAAUAAUUCUAACCAAUUGGCCCUGGCUCCCUUUCGCACUGGGAUCCUAUUGCUUUACAGCUAGUGACGGGGUGGGGGUGGGGGGCGCACCACUACCACAUGUGAAUUAAUUCUCAACUCCAGAGCCAUGUGCUGUUCUCUGGCAAGGUUGUAUUUCUUCAUUAGCUAUUCCCAGGGCCCAGGGAGUCCCAGAGGAUGUCAGAGUACAUUAAUUUUUAUCAUAACAUGGAAUCUUUCAGGUCUGAAUGGCAGCACACAGCUGUCAGGGGCUUUCUGAACUCUAUUACAGCUCCAUAUAUCUCUAGGCAAAACAGGGGAAAGAGUCAUCAUUGGCAAGGGAAAUGUACAAAAUGCAUGAGAUGUUUUAUUGUUUGAGUGAGUUGACCAUGUAUUUAAGCACAUUGUCCAAACAAUUUCUUUCCUACUGUCCACAUAAUUUCACCUCUGCCACCGUUAUUAAACUGCAUAAAGUAUGUUUUAAAUAAGCUCUCUUUGCAUAAUUAUAAUGAAAUCAUCAUCUGGUACUUAAAACUGUUCUAUAAAUAUCUAAAAAAUGUUUCCUUCCCAGGAAUUCUCAGCAGAAUUUAUGCAUCCACAUUAUUGUUAAGUUCAUAAAUAAUGACUUGUAUUGCCUAAUAUUACUUUAUGUCCACAAAAUAUAAUUUUAAUUUGAAAGAAUUCUAAUGCAUUUCCUGGAAGGCUAGUUAUUGGUUUCUUGCCUUUAUUUUGCUCACUUAUCAACUAAGUAAAAUGCUGAGAGAGAUGCAGCUUAUUUAGAAAAAGAGGAAACCCUGAUAUUACUAUAAUAGGAGCCCUCUCCUGUGUCCUAGGCCCCAUACUAGACACCACUCAGAGGGGAGGACACACAGACACUCCCACAAGAAAAUCCCAGUGUACUUGGUCAGCUUUUCUUCGCAGUAACAAAAUACCUGAGGCAGGCUACUUAGGAGAAAUGAGAGGUGUCUUUAACUCACAGUUUUGGAGUUUUCAAGGGCAUCAUGCCGGCACGGGCUUGGUUGUGAUGCAAGCCCUCUGGACCGAGUCAUAUCAUGGGAAUGGCGAUGGUGAUAGCGUAUGUGGGAGGCAGUGGUCACGUCUCAACACAGAAAGCCCCAGAGAGACCAGGUGAACCAAACUCAAGCUUUUGUCACAGCCCACUUGUGAGAGCUACCAGGGAGUCACAGGAGGUCUGCAUUAAUUCCUUCUGAGGGUGAUGCUCAUAAUGACUGAGGGACCUCCCAUCAGGCCUCACCCGUUAAAGGUCCCCACUUCUCAACAUUGGCACACUGAGUAUGACGUGGGAAUUUUGGGGGACAAACUACAUCCAGAGAGCGUGUGGGCAAAGAGAGAAGGGAAAGUUGUCAGUUCCAUGAAUGUGAAAACAUAUGUUCUUGUUAGGCCUGAGUGACUGACUGCUGGCUGCAGUCCGUUGCUCAAGUUUCCUAGGUCUUUGUGAUUUCCUAGUAAUGGGUAGGUUUUGGAAGGCUGUGUGUGGACUCUUCAAUUAAUUGCUCCCACUGUGUGGCAGCCCAAUUGCUUGAGCUCUGUGGGCCAUAGAACAGUUUUCCCCAGCUUACGUGUGGCCGUGUACAUACAAGAUGCACAAAGACAGUGCAUGUAGAAAAGUUCUUUUACUUUAACAUGAUCAUGGUUUAAAGUAAAUCAGAAGAGUAACCCCAUUUAGCUCAUGUCUUUGCAAGAGACUAUGCUGAGAAAUACAGAUGAGUUAAUUUCCAGGUCAUUCAAAGAAGGAAAUACAGGUGAUCCUUAAGUUAAACAAAUGGCACCUCAGUGACUGUGUUUGGAUAAUGCUGACCUGGAUUCUGUAGUGUAAAAGGAAAAACUGGCCAUAUGCCAUCUUAAAAAAAAAAAAAAAACUCCAACAGGGAGCUUAGUAGGUAUUAGUGAAGACAGAGCUUUCACAAGCAGUAUCUUAAUAAUUUUGAGAGAUUUAAUAGAUCAACAAACUUCUUAAGUAUGAAUUUGUCACUGGCUCACUCUCCAAAUGCCCAGAACAGCCACUGGCUGAGGCCAAAUCUAGGGGCCAGGAAUUCAAUCCAGGUCCCCCACAUGGGAAGGAGGAACCAAAUUACUUGGGUCAUCAUUGCUGCCUGCAGCGUUUGCAUCAGCAGGAAGCUGGCAUCAGGUGUCAGAGCUGAGUAGCAAACCAGUAGGGUACUCCAGUAGGGUUUGGAUACUCAGCUCUCAACCAGUAUCUUAACUGCUUGGCUAAACACUGCCCCUCAAUAAACCUGUGUCAGGUGUCAGGUGCAGCCUGUGAAUUUUACUAAAUUCACUUUAGUGAAUUUAGGAUUUCUUUAAGACAAGACUAUGACUCAUUAGUCAGAUGGAGAUGCGUGAGUUUGCCAAGCAAGACAGGCUACUUUACAUUUUCUAAUCUACAGGAGCUAUGUUCAGGUGAGGUUACCAGGUUAUGAGCAUAGUAGAAGCUACUUAGGAUUUCUCUCCCCUCCCACCACUACAUUGUGCUUUCUGUUGAUUUUCCUUUGUGUUAAAUAUUCUCAGUAAGCCAGAACAUCACAGGGCAAUAAAGUAGUAAAUGCAAAACACACACACACACACACACACACACACACACAAUGGAAACCACUUGAGCUGCAAGCCCAAGGAGUCAGAACUGUAUCUCGGAUAUUGUGCCAGUUGGACUAAAUGCUGUUGGUGGUACAAUUAUCAAAUCAAUGCGUUUUUCCUAGAAAACCGCUCCUAGAGAGGAUGUGGGCAUACUCCUCGUUUAUAUUCCCCCCUAUUUCAAAUCAAUGAGGUUGAGAUUUUGCUGCUGGGACUACAGAUGAUGUGAUGGGAAAAUAUAAUCAAGAUAAUGGACAUGAGGCAAAAAUUUAAGGAAAUAACCAAAACAAGAGUGUUUCCAUUUUCUGUUAAGUGUAUGUACUGAUGCUCUGGAAUUCACUAUAAGAAGUUGUAAAUGGUGCAUGAAAUGAAAAAUUCCUGGUGGUCUCCAGGGGAUAUAGCUAGUGCUGUGUACUCUACUCCUGGUGAUUGUUUUAGAUUAUUUUCUCUAUUGCAAUUGAAAUAAAAAAAAUAAUUAAGUGUGCCUAGGUUAGUUUGACAGCAAAACCCACUCCUGGUUAAUUAUUAUUUUAAUAGUUGGCAGUAUCCAUCAAAUUCAUGACAUACGUAGGUCCUUUAAAAUGUAGAAGUACAAUGAUGGCCUUGACCACCCUAGGUGAUACUGCUUUUAUGUGUUGAGACUUGUCUUGUUUGAAUUGCUUUCUUUCUUUGCAUGUUUACUCAGGACAUUCUCUUCCAGAGAUAUUAAUAAGGACACAGGGAGCCAUAUUUUCAUAUAUUAUAAAUGAGGAUGACAAUUGGAUAUAAUUUAAUAUUUUUUAAGUACUGGUGAGUCCCAUAGCCCCCCAAGGUUUAGGAAGCAGGCUACUUUGAAAAAGGAAAAGGUCUGUUUUAGGUGUCAUUUAUUUAUUUUUUUAAGAUUUAUUUAUUUGAAAGGCAGAGCCACAUAAGAGGGAGAGACAGAAAGAGAGAGUUAUUCAAUCCACUGGUUCACUCCCCAGAUGGCUGCUAGAAGCCUGGAACUCCAUCCAAGUCUUCUAUGUGUGUGGCAGGGGCCUAAGCACAUGGCCAUUUUCUGCUUCUUUCCCAGGUGCAUCAGCAGGGGUGUCAAUCAGAAGGGGAGCAGCUGGAAUUUGAGUCAGUGUUCAUAUUGCAUGCUGGUAUUGCAGGCGACCACUUGACCCGCUGCACCACAACUCUAGCCUCUUAGAGUCAUUUCUGUCAAGGCCUCUGCUAGGCACUUAAUGUUGUUUGCUUAUUUACACAACUAUUAAACUAGGUGAGCAUUAUCAUUUCCUUUCACAAGGGACACAGCUGGGGCUCAAAGGGGUUUAUUAACUUCUCUGAGGUCCACAUGGCUAAGAGGAGGCCCAGCUGAUUAUAGAAUGAGUUUCACCUGUCACAUGAUUUUACCAAUGUGACCUGCUGGAAUUGUACCUAACAAAAUAACUUAUGAAAACAGCAUGCUGCAAAAUAUAAUCUUUCACUAAAGAUCACAUUCCUCAUUCCUUUAAUAAAAGACUGACAUUGAUUGCGGAUGUCCCAUGUAAAAGGCAGUUGUUCAUGUGUGUUUAAAAGAUGCCCUUGAUAUCAUUUCUGUUUUAAUUCAGCCUUCUCGGAAUUAAAUCAGUUACAGUGUGAGUUUUGCAAAAUCUGUACAUCAGUGUAUUAUUAGUGUUUAAUGAUAGCAAUUUUAACAAGUCAUUCUCCACAAGAAUAUCUAUGAAAUUGUGUAUUUGAGAUGCUAAUUCUAUAGUUUUUUCCAACAUACUGCAAUAUUUAAGUAUUCUUUCAAGCUUGCUAUGUGCUAUCUAAAAUCAUCUUCAGUUUGGCCAGUGGCUUGCCUGCUGCAUUUUGGGUAGCUGUGGCUGGUGUGUCACUGAAGUGUGGGGAACUUUAACUGAGCUUGAGGUGACUGUAGAAGAAAAUUGCUUUGACCAGUUCUGUAUCACCAGUAACCAGCCUAAGUUACUUAAACCACUGUCCAACUUGGAAUUCUGUGGUAUUUUUCCCUUCCUUUUCUUUCUGAAAAGGCAACUAAAUGUUUAUCAGGUAAGAGUAUAAAAUAAUUUUUUAGAGACUGUAGACUUUUCCAUUGACUUUCAGAGUAUUCGCAAAUGGUAUGAAUUCUUGUAACUUACUCCAGAAGCAACCCAGAUGGCGUGACAUUCUGUUUUAAGGAGGAAUUGGAAAGUGUUUCCCUUUACAUAACAUAUCACUUAACUCAUUCUUUUGCAGUGUCUGAAAUGGAAUCCCCAAGAGCCACAACUGUCUUAACAAUCUGAAGUGUGCUUAUUUAACCUGAAAAAUCCUGUCUCAUUUUGUGGGAGUAGGUUAACAAUUUCAUUUAUGAAUCUUUACAGUAACUUAAUCCCGUGAUGGUGGCUACUGCCAUUCUUAGACUCCUUUAAAGCACCCUUCUUCUUAGAUUUGAAAUUACAUGUCUAAUUUUUGGGCUCCUUGGGUCAUAAUUGGCUGAUCUUAUGCCCAAAGCACAAGAUUUAUAAUAUAUUUAUAUUUAUAAUAUAUAAUGGUUUUAUUAGUCAGCUAGAACCAAAUCAACUUUCUCCUUCCUCCCUAUUUUUUAGGUAAUAAAUUUUUGUUUUGUAAAACAUGGCUAUGUAAUGACCUAGUGUUGAUUUAAAUGUAUCAAUUCAUCCAUUUCCAAAAGUCUUACUUCUUAUUAAAUGGGGAGCCUGGGUAAGCAGAGACUCCCUUCUUGAUGGGCAUUGUUUGUUUUCUUCUAGUAGAUAAAACAUUUGUACAAACAGAUUGUGAUGUAUGAUAGAAAGUGUUAUGUAAUGUAGGAAUGGACAUGUCCCAGACAGAAAUGAAGGCCAAGCCUCCAGGGAGAUGCGUAUCAUACCUCAGAGGUGGAUGUUCAGUUUACAGUAAACACUUGGGAUGUACUGGGAUUGGGUUGUUGCCAGUUGAUGCUAAGCAGAAGGCUAAACACAUGAGAAUCAGAAGGAUUGAGCACGACAUUGGCUGUUUGUUAAGGAUACUGCUUUGGUCCUGGCCACACUCAGCUCAGCAUCAUUAGUAGCUCAGUGCCUUGAUGGGAAAUUGGGGAAUAGCUGGUGUCCUGUGUUACAUAACUGUCUGGAAAUAAGUUGAAGGAACUCAAGUGCUUUUGUGGGGAGCAGCCCGGACUGGACUGAGUUACUGAAAUUAAGACUUAUUCUAUGCAUCUGCUCUCCCACAAUAUGGCGCUGGGAGAGAAGUAAACAGCUUCCACACAGCUGCCUCCAGUUCAGCUAAUAAACUGUAGGACUUGCUCCUGAUUGGAGGAGAGCAGCGUACUCGGCGUGUGGGCAGCCGAGUUGGGAUUGGCGGAGGAGGACUAUAAAGGAGGAGAGAGACGGCAUGCACCAGGAACAUCUAUGGGGAACAUCUAAGGGGAACAUCUAGCUGAAGGAACACCCGUGCAGCCCCCCAGAGAACCGGCCGGCGGUGUGCCGCUCCCCUGCGGAAGUGGGGAAUGUGGCCAGGGGGAACUGCCCUUCCACGGAGGUGGAAGGGAUAGUAGCCAACCCGGGAAGAACCAGCAGCAAACCCGGGGAGGGCCGAGCAGACAGAAAGAACAGCGCAGGGUCCUGUGUCGUUCCUCCACGAAGAGGGGGAGCGACAGCUUUGGUUGGGUUUGUCUUCCUGUCAUCCAAAACAAUGUCGACCUGGUAAAUUGUUUAGGGAAGGUGUUUAAGAACUUUCUAAGAGAUACAUAGUGCUAACCUUCUAGAAGCAGAGGAAGGCAAGGAUUCUUGGAAGAAAGAAGAGUUUUCUGUGCCACCCUUGAGAGGUCAGAAGGGCUAUGCCAUAUAGAAAGGACAGCUGGGACAGAGGGAGGGACCCUGUCAGAUUCUUCUUAGUGGACAACUGAAGGAAGGCAUGCAGUGCUGGAGAUGAGUAUGUGAGCAGGGAGCAGAAAGCAUUGAAAUACAAAAGUCAACUUCAUUGCUGUCCAGAAGUCUCUAUCCUUAAAAUUCCGUGAAGGAGAGCCAGACUGAAGAUGGGCCGAAGUUCAAGCGUCUGAUUUUAUUCUACUUUGUUAAUGCUGUAUUAGAGGGCUGCUGCUUGUAGAAAUACAAGCGAGCACUGAUAGACCAUAGCCUGUGUGCACACUAGUAGCCCUACUGGAGUAAACACUGCCACUCUCUGGUUUUACAACCUGUGUAUUCUCAUGGUUCAGGAAAUAUUUCAUUGGCCAGUAGUCAUGAAUUCGAGUUCUGGCUCCUUCAAUCAUUGGCAAGAAAUGUUUUGGAACCCCAGAUUCACAUCUGUGAGGUGGUGAUGUUACUAUUUAGCAUGUUUUCUGAGAUCACCUGAAGUCCCCAAGCAAAGAAAAAGUAAAGCCCUCUCAUGCUUCAAAUCUUUGAAGUCUGUGUAACCAAAUAGAUGUGUUUAUGGAAUAUUAUCUAUGACCAAAGAAUUUUGCCCAGUUUUACAUGAUGGCAAAACUGUGGGACUCCACCCCAUCUAUUACAACACUUUUAAGUAGCUCCUAAAAUUAUAUAUGGAAGGAGCUUUGUUUCAGUGUAGAAUUUUCAGAUGCUCUUGAGCAAUUGCCUGAGGAAUGAUACAGAUUAAAAAUAUUAGGCCGGUGCCGCGGCUCAAUAGGCUAAUCCUCCGCCUAGCGGCGCCAGCACACCAGGUUCUAGUCCUGGUCGGGGUGCCAGAUUCUGUCCCGGUUGCCUCUCUUCCAGGCCAGCUCUCUGCUGUGGCCAGGGAGUGCAGUGGAGGAUGGCCCAGGUGCUUGGGCCCUGCACCCCAUGGGAGACCAGGAGGAGCACCUGGCUCCUGCCUUCGGAUCAGCGCGGUGCACUGGCCGCGGCUCACUGGCUGCGGCGGCCAUUGGAGGGUGAACCAACGGCAAAGGAAGACCUUUCUUUCUGUCUCUCUCUCUCACUGUCCACUCUGCCUGUUAAAAAAAAAAUAUAUUAAACACAUUCAGAGGAGGAGUGUGCUUUUGGUUAGCAUGAUCUAGAAAGGCACUAGAUGAAAUUGCUGUGGGGAGGACUAGGGUUCCCAUUGACAAUGUUUUUGAACAACCCCAAAAUGUCUUGAUAUCCAGCGCACAGCAAGCCAAUUGCAGACACCAAGUUGCUGGAAGAAAGCAGUGAUUUGCAAUAUGUAGAGCGAGAAGUCGGACAGCUAUCUUUGAAUUCCAGAACUCUCCAUGAGAUGAAAGGUAGUGAUUCUUAGAGACCAGUGAGGAAUGAGCUUGUGGCUUUUCUUUAAUUAGUCAUUGAUAGGGGCCAAUGUGUUUCUUCUGUAAUCCUAAGGAUUGACUCUGAUCUAUGUGGUCUCUAAGGGUAGACUGGGUGUUAUUACCUUGUUUGAUCAGGAUCUGCAAAAGGGUCAGAACAGAGGUUAGCAUUGACUGUUAACUAUUGAAUCCUGAGUCUUGGUGACUGUGGUCUUAUGGGAAGCCCUUACCCUUGUGCUACUCCCUUAAUUUAAUAACCUAAUUUUUAGUAGGGGAUUAACUCCCAGUCCAAGGGAAGACAGAAGAACUAUAAGCUAAGAGUAUGUAAAGGGGGCCUCUGGGCUUCAGAGGAUUAAAAUAAACCUAUUGGCAGAAGAGGAAGGACUGGAGGAGACAGAUGCUGAAAAUGCAGUGCCAGUAGGAUGUCCAGGAGGGGACUAAAGCCCAGAGGUAGAGAUAGAGAAACGGCCAAGAAUCAGGAGGGGUGUGUGUGUGUAUGUGUGUGGGUGGGUUUAUUGUGCUAGAGAAGCCUAGACUAGCAGAGGGGAUGGGAUGUUGUUAGAUUGACUGGUUGUGAAGACGAUGUUGUCCAGGAAGCUUUGAGAGAUUCUGAUUGGUGGUGAGAAGAAUUCAGUUGGCUUGGUAAUGAGGAGUAUGUUUGGAGCAAAAAGAGAAUAUUUCUAAACUGUAGAUCACAAAUGGGAAGAGAGAGGCUGAUGAAUCUUGAAAGAGCUCGAUUGUCAAGUAGUUGUCUUCAUAUUCCCAGCUCACUGCCCCCCACCCCCGUUUGUUUUCUUUCUUGAUUUUUCUUCUAUUUGAUGGUCAGAAUGAUUUGACUAAGAUGUACAGCAAGAGUGAGCUAGUAGAGAAGUGAAGAAGGAAGAUGCCAGAAAGGGAGCUGUCACGGGGGCUCUUGAAGGAAACUUAAGGAUCAGCUGUCUGAAAGCUAGUGACAGUGUUUGAAAUCGGACCCUCUUACGCUGACUGCCGCCAGCCAGGUCCCUUUCUGGUGUGAUGGACUACUUGAGGUCAAGCAAUCAAAGUCUGGAUAUAGCAUUGUGAAUCUCGGCCCACAGUUGCUUCCACUUAGGGCAGACAGUAUAGCACAAGGAAAUAAUUAGAACCCAACCCACUUUAACUUUUGAAGUCAUUUUCUGUCCCUUAAGGAAGGCACUGGCCAUAGUGGAGGGGACUGCUGCUUUCUGUACACUGUGAGAAUUUACAGAGGACAUGCAGGCUUCCCUCUAAUGGAGUCUCCAGCCUACCCACAGUAUGUACCCUUUGCUGCCCUCAGUCACCCUUCACAGAUCAGAAUCCACCAGGGAAGAAAAAAGAUCAGUCCUUUAAAGAGCUGACUAAUAAAUACAUCAACUUUGGACUUGGAAGGGUGCUAUUUUUGUUUCCAUUCUGUCUUUAUAGUUUGAACUUUCCUUUUGAUAUUCUGUAAAUAUUCAUCUCAGAACCUUUUGAAUUGCAAGCCUUUUAGUCAAAACUGAGCAAAAUGUGCCAUUUGAAUAAUAAAAACCUCAUUAAAGUGAAGCAAAAGGGUUUCUUUUCCUUUUGUACAAGCCAAUUAGGUGUCUUUACAAUUAAAAAAAAGUCAAACACUUUAUGGUAUCAUAUUCCAUAAGCCUGUUUUUAAUUAAUAGAGGUGACAGGUUUUAGGUAUAGGGUGCAUAUUUUGCCUCUGGUGUUGUGCAAUUAGCAUUAAUGAAGGGUAUUAAAAUUUGGUGAGAGAGGAAAGGAUUUUUGAGGAUCUCUGUGGGUUCAUGCCUUUAGGCUGAGGUCUUUGGUAGCAAGUUGCUUUGUUUGAUGGGGUUUACAUUUCCCUGGCAAAGUGUAAGACAAGAAUAAUGGUAGCUAGAGAGGGGUUGUUAGUGAGGCAUGCUGUCAAAAUUACAAAUCCCCAGGCCUCUCUUGAAGUCAGAAAUCAGCUUUGAAGAAUUUAAUGUCUUCUUGUGGAUAAAAGGGAAGGGUAUAGAGAAAAGGAAGCUGCAAUUAUUUAACCUGGCAGGAUGACAAGAUACUGGGGUUAGACUCAUGACAAGCUUGGGUGUAUUCUUGCUGCUUCCAGUUUACUAGGGAAAAAGCAGGUUCAUAGAGGUUAGCAAACUGGCUGAGGAUCACAUAAGUAGUGACCAGGCGGAGCAAGAAUUUCUCAGCACUUGAGGCCAUCUAUUGAUUUGCUUAUCUAAGAGAGAAGGUAUUACAUAGUGACCUUGAAGUCAUAUGACUCUUUAGUUUUGAAAAGCUUUGUUCCUAUCCUUUUAUUUUCUCAUUUAUUUAUUUUGACUAUUUCCUGUACUUUACUGGUGACCUUCAGAAGUUUGCUGCUGGCCCCUUGUUUUCUCCUCUUUAAAAUGGCAACAAUAAUACAUGUUAAUUAGUUUUCUUAGGAAGAUUAAAUGAGAUAUACAUGAAACUGAGAAGUUGACCAAAUCAUAGUUAAUACAUGGAAAAAGAAAAAAAAAUAACUCUGGAAAAUUGUAACAAAUAUUUGAGAUGCCACAUGAAAGGAACUGAAAUGUGAUCUUGUCUUUUUUCCUGUUUUUAUUUCCAGUGGUCCUAUCCUAUUACAAAACAUGGAUUAUCUCAGCUAUGUAUCAAUAGAUUCUGCUCUGAUUUUAAAGCAGGCUUGAUGAGUGCUGAUGGUAGACUAGUUGCCUCAAAGCAUUUGUGCCUCCCUCUUUAGAAAGUGACUGGACCACUGGGAGGUGUGUAUUGAUAACUGUGGAGGACACCAUGUAUGGCAAAUAGGUGAUCGGGCAAACUUAGUUGGUGUUACUUAUCAAUUUCACAGCUUUUUAGUUUGUUCCACAGUCCGUUUCACUGAACCCACCCUUCUCCUGCUCCUCUUCCUUUAGUGAAUUCAGCCAGCUUACAGGAUACUAUCUAACAAAUGAGUUCAGCUAGAUUGUCUGGUAAAAGAUCAAAGAACAAAAGUCAGUUUGUUUCUAUAUAUUAUCAACAAAUAAUCCAAAUAUGAAGUGUAGAAAAUAAUUCUGUUUGCAGUAGUAUCAGGAAAGAUAAAAUACUCAAGAAUAGAUGUCACAGAAUUCAUGAAAAACUUCUACUUUGGAAGCUAUAAAAUAUUGAAAGAAAUUAAAGAAGAUCUGGAUGAAAUUAAAGACAUCCCAUGUUCAUGGACCAGAGGAAAGAAUAUGAUGUUAAUGCCCUUGAAAUUGAUGAAAAAAAUUUAAGGCAGUCUCUAUCAAAAUCCUAGUUAUCCCUUUUGGUAGAAGUUGGAAAUGUUUCUGAAUUUAAUAUGUAAGUGCAAAGAAACCCAAAAAGCCAGAACUAACUUGAAAGAUAAUAAAACUGGAGGACUCUUGAGUUCUCAGUUUCAAAAGUUACUACAUAACUUCAGAAAUGAAAACAGUGUGUCAUGAGCACAAACCUAGACAUAGAGAUACAAUAGAAUUCAGAGUCUAGAAAUAAAUUCUUAACACGUGGUCAAUUGACUUUCAACAAGAGUGCCAAGACAAUUCAGGGAGGAAAGAAUAUCUUCAGUAGGUGAUUCUAGAAAAACUGGAUAUCCACAGAUAAAACAAUGAAUUGUAUUUAUAGCAUACACCAGGCACAAGAAUAGUUGAGAAAAUUUCUUAGACCUAAAGGGAAGGGCUAGAGCUUUAAAUACUUACAGGAAGACAUAAGGCUAUAUUUUUGUGAUGCUGUGCACAAGUGACAGAGAAAAAGUUAAGUUAGAGUUCAUUAAAAUGAAAAGUUUCAUGACACAAGUGAUAACAUUAACAAAGUGUAAAAGCAGUCUAUUGAAUGGGAGAAAUAUUUGCAAAUUGUGUAUCUAAUUAAGGGAUUUGUAUCCAGAAUAUAUAAAGCACAUUUACAAUUAAAUACUUUAAAAAAACUCAAUUAAAAAGGGGGGCACACUGAGCACUUAAAAGGAAACCUGUUGAAGUGAAAUGGACACUAUGAGAAACAAUGACUUGAUCAGCCCUUGUUUUGACUGUCGAGGAACAACUUACUACUUUAUUCUUUUUAGUAUUUUUCAUUCUACUUAAUACCAUUGGUUGAACUCUUUAAUUAACACAGAAUUAUUCUUAGGUGUUUAAAUUUAACUGAAAAGUGAUCUCUGUUAAAUAUAAGAGUGGGAAUAAGAGAGGGAGGAGAUGUACAGUUCGGCACAUGCUCACUUGGACUUACCCCUAAUGUUACAGUUAGAAACAUGCCAGGGGAUUCCAAUUCCAUCCCAUCAAGGUGGCAGGUACCAAUGCCAUCUCACUAGUCAAAGUGAUCAGUUUUAGUUCAUAAUUGAUCAUAAUGAUAGGAUUAAGUGUCAAAGGGAUCACAUAAACAAGACUAGUGUCUGCUAAUACUAACUGAUAGAAUUAAAAAGCAGAGAACGAUCCAAUAUGGGAAGCGGGAUACACAGCAGACAUACAGAAUGGCAGAUGUCCUAAACAGCACUCUGGCCUCAGAAUCAGCCCUUAAGACAUUUGGAUCUGGCUAUAAAGCCCAUGAGAGUAUUUUAGGCAUGGAAAGCCAAGACACUGUGGGGAAAAAAAAAAGAGGACCUAAAUGAAAGAUCUCUGUGAGUGAGAUCCCAGCAGAAAGAAUGGGCCAUCAAAGAAGGAGGUACCUUUCUCUGAAGGGAGGAGAGAACUUCCACUUUGACUAUGGCCUUGUCUAAAUAAGAUCAGAGUUGGUCAACUCAGGAGGCUUCCAUAGCCUUGGCAGCUCAUGACAAGAGCCUUGGGUGAUAAUUGACGUCAUAAAUAAGAGUGUCAGUUGUUAAAUCAACAACGGGAGUCACUGUGCACUUACUCCCCAUGUACAAUCUCUGUCCUUAAUGUGUUGUGCUAUGUGAAUUAAUGCUAUAACUAGUGCUCAAACAGUACUUUACACUUUGUGUUUCUGUGUGGGUGCUAAUCGUUGAAAUCUUUACUUAGUAUAUACUAUGUUGAUCUUCUGUAUAUAAAGAUAAUUGAAAAUGAUUCUUGAUGAAGAAUGGGAUGGGAGAGGGAGUGGGAUGGUUUCAGGUGGUUAUGGGGGGAAAGAGCCACUGUAAUCCUAAUGUUGUACUUUGGAAAUUUAUAUUUAUUAAAUAAAAGUAAAAAAGGAGGGGGGCACAAGGCCUGAAAACAAAUUUUCUAAAGGACAUAAAGGAGUUGCCAGUGAACACAUACAUAAAAGGCUGCUCAGCAUCAUCAGUCUUCAGUGAAAAACUAAAAAAAAAUUCCACUGAGAUAUCAUUUCUCAGUAAGUUGGCUAAAAUAAAACAAGACAGAUAAUAACAAAUAUUCAAGAGAAUAUGGAGGAAUUAGAAUCCUCCUGCAUUAAUGGUGAGAAUGUAGAAUGGUACAGCCACUUAGUAAAGCAGUUUGGUAGUUUCUGAAAGCUAAAGGUGAGUUAGCAUAUGACCCAGCAAUUGCAUUCCUAGGUAUAUCUCUAGAGAGCUAAAAGCACACAUCUUCACCAUUACUUGCAAAUGAAUAUCCAUAGCAGCAACAUUCAUAAUAGCCAAACAUUAUGAACAACCCAAAUACUCUCCAACUAAAGAGUGAAUGGACGUAAGUGGUGUAUGAAACAUUUUGCAGGGGCAUAAAAAAUAAUGAAGUACUGGUUAAGGCUAUGCAAGGAUGAACCUUGCAAACACGAGGAGAAAAAGAAGAUGAUCACUAAAGACCACAUGUUGCAGACUUCUAUUUGUGGUAAAAGUCCAAAGUAGGCAAACUUGCAGGACAGAGAGUACACAUUUAUGGUGUUGUGGGGAUGGGUGGGAAGUGGUUGGUAACUGCUAAUGGUUAUGGGUUUCUUCCUGAAGUUUUGAAAGUGUGAUGAAGCUAGAAGGUAGUGAUGGUUGUGGACUUCUGUGAAAAUACUGAAACUUGUUGAAUUAUAUGCUGUAAAUAGGUAAAUUUUAUAGUAUGGAUUAUAUCUCAGGUUCUUAAAGAAAUUCAUUUGUGCUUAUUGUAGAACAGAAGGAAAACACUAAAAACCAUAGAAAGGAAGUAAGUAAUCCAGGGUAGGUGAUUGGCCCAGCAGUCAGCACACAGCUUGGGACGCCUGUGUCCCAUGUCAGAACACCUAGGCUCAAGUCCCAGCUCCACUGCCACUCCAGCUUUCUGCUUAUGCACCUCCUGGGUGGCAGCGGGUAAUCACUCAGUACCUGGGACCCUGUCACCCGUGUGGGUACCUGGACUGGUUUCUGGGCUCCUGGUCCUGGCUGUUGCAGGUGUUUGAGCAGUGAAGCAGCAAAUUAAAGAUCUGUCUCUCGCCACUCCCUCCCUCCCCCCGCCCAACCCCUACCACCAUGUGUGUGUCUUUAAUAUAAAGUGAAAAUAAAUAAAUAACUAGCAAUCCAAUUAUCUCCUACAUACUCUAGUUGAAACAUUUUUCUGUGUUUUCUUUUUAAUUGACUAUAUAUAGAAAUAUUUUUGAGAGGGAGGAGCAUGAAGCCCACACAAAAAUUAUAAUCCUUGACUUUACAAUUAAAUUGAAAAAUUUGAUAGCUUCUGACUUAACCAUUGCUUAUUUAUCUGUUUCCCUGUUGCUGAAUUUUAAGUUGCUUCUCGUUCAUGUGUAAUUAUAUGAUCUUCAUUUCUGUAUAAUUAUUACUCAUAGUUAUGUAUAAGCUUUAGUCUGCAUUUUGAAUAUUUCCAUAGGAAAGUAUCUUAGAAGCUAUCUUGGUUUCCUAAUGGUACUGUAACAAAUAACCACAAAUUGGAUGACUUAAAACAAAAGUGAAUGUCUCCCAAGGCUAAAAUUCUGAAGUCCUGUCUUCCAUAGUGUUGGUUCUUCUCAAGACUUUGCAGGGGAAUUCAUCCCAUGCCUUUCUCCUAGCUUUUGCUAUCUGCCAACAAUCCUUGGUGGUCUUUGCCUUGUACCUUGUAUUAGUCUGUUUUCUGUUUCUAUCAUAAAAUACUGGCUUCUGUUUCACAAAGAAAAGAUGUUUAUUUAGCUCAACAGUUUGGAGGUUCACAAGCAUGGUACUGGCUUCUGCUCGGCUCUCAUGAGGGCCUUUUGGCAGAUGCCAUCACAGUGUUGAGGAUGAGAACAGGUGUAACCACAUGGCUAGACGGGCCACAGACAUCAGUUCAGGGGUCACACUGGGUCUUUUAUACAAGCCAACUCUCCCAGGAAUUGAACUUAAUCUGAGAGACCAGCUUUAAUCCCUUCUGAGGGCCAUGUCCACAGUGGUUAAUUUACCUGGCACUAAGCAUUACCUUGUAAAGGUUCUAUCUAUUUAUUUUUAUUUUUAAAAAUUUUUUAAAGACUCAUUUAUUUUUUGAAAGAGUUACACAGAGGAGAGAGAGAGAGAGAGAGAGACAGACAGACAGACAGAGACAGGUCUUGCAUCUGAUGGUUCACUCGCUUCUUGGCUGCAAUGGAUGGAGCUGCGCUGAUCUGAAGCCAGGAGCUGGGAGCUUCCUCCAGGUCUCCCACGUGGGUGCAGAGGCCCAAGGACUUGGGCCAUCUUCUGCUUUCCCAGGCCAUGGCAGAGAGCAGGAUCAGAAGUGGAGCAGCUGGGCCUCCAACCGGCGCCCAUGUGGGAUGCUGGCGCUUCAGGCCAGGGCGUUAACCCAUUGCGCCACAGCGCUGGCCCUGGUUCUAGCAAUUUUUAAGCUGACACAUUGGGAACCAGCUUCCAGACAUGAACCGCUGGGGGACAAACCACAACAUACAUGCAUCAGUCAGUCUCUGUAUCCACCUAACUCCUCUCCUUCCUAUCUCCUCUCCCUUUGUUUUCUUAAAGACUUGAAGGAUUUAGGGCCCACCUUAGUCCAGGAGGAUUUCAUCUCAAAAUUGGGAACUUAAAUACAUUUCUGAAGAUAUUUUUCCUGAAUAAGGUCACACUCAGUGGAUUUGGAUUGGACAUAUCUUUUGGGUUCUACCAUUCAGCCUGCUACAAAUGCAGUUGCAUAUCAAGGGGGUUGAGAGGUAGCUGUAGGAGUGACCUGCAACAUGAAUAGGCAAAGUGGGGGAGCAGUUUUUGUAUGGAAUGCAAAAACCACAUGAAAACUAACUGAACAGUGAUCUGCCUUUGCAAUCAUACAAUGGUAAUUUGAAACAUUAUAAUAAUUGUUCCUCAUGGUGUUACCUAUGCCUUCUCCGCUGCUUCCCAUGUACUCUAUUGCUUGGAAGCAGGAUUACUCAGCAAAAUUAUGUGAAUCUUUCUAAUGUUCAUAUAUAUAUAAUAUCUCCGGGAUGAAAUAUAUAUUCUAAGCAGCUUCAUGCAAGAUAAUAAUAUCAAAUCUGCCAGUUUGAUAAACACACCUUAAAUUUUGCUACUGUUGGAGUUAGACAUGUCAAAUCCUCUAUGGGUCAUUUGCUGUCUAUUUUUGCACUUUUACAAAAUUUCUUUGCUUGUAUUUCUGUUAGACUCUUGGAAUGUGUUUUUUAUUUAUUUGUAAAAGCUCUUUAUAUAGUAAAAAUAUGAGUUACAUAUCAGUGUAGUCAUUUGUUUUUUU